CUCAGAAAAUGUUCCAUAGUAACUCUGAUAAUGUCAGAGAUCACAAUUAUGCCAUUUUAACAAUGAUGACAAUGAAAGAUAGUAAUAGAUAAUAUUUAUUUGUCCUAUGCUAUAUACCAGACACCAUAUGUUUUGAGUGUUAACUUAUUUUAUGUGCUAUCUUAUUUAAUCCUCUCAAGUAUUCUGCAAAGUAGUUGAUACGCACAGGUUGGUAAGUGGCUAAGACAUGAAUUAAAGUAGAUCUCUUUGACUCCAAAAUUCAACACUGAGUUACUUACCUUCUCCAUUUCCUGAUUAGAGAAAUUUGUGCCUUUACUGAGGUCAUAUUUUUUUUCAUUUUGCCACUGGGAAUAAUAACUGCACAAUCCUCUACAUGACCAUGAGCAGUGAAUAUAAAAAUGUGGUCAUAGGUAUGUGAUUUGUUCUCUAAACUGUUAGUCCUAGGUUAAUCUUUCACAGCCUAUAAAAAGGCAUGCAGAAGAACUCUUGAAUUAGUGACCCAGAGAUUUAAGAAAGGACAUUUUAAUUUCAGUGGAAAAUUACAGGAGUUGUAGGAUUAGUGUAUUUUCGGAAAGGGCCAAAGUGUAUUAAAAUAUGAGACUCCUGGCUCGGCACAGUGGCUCAUACCUGUAAUCCUAGCACUUUGGGAUAUCAAAGUGUAAGGAUCACUUGAGGCCAGGAGUGGCUUGUGCCUGAAGUCCCAGCUACUUGGGAGGCUAAAAUGGGAGAAUCACUUGAACCCAGGGGUUCAAGGCUGCAGUGAACUAUGAUCAUGCAAUUGCACCCCAGCCUGGGUGACAGACUGAGACCCUGUUUCAAAGAAAUAAAUAGACAAAUAAAUAGUUGCUUUAAGACUAAUUUUACAUUAAAGAAAUGCUCUAAUUGAAGCACACUCUGGACUUUUAACACAGAUCAGUGAUUUGCUGUGAUAUAUAUUUAAUUUAAUACAGUAGAGAAGAAAAUUCAGCCAAAGUUAAAAGAAUGUUGAGAAAUUCUACAUAUCUUUUCAAAUAUUUGUCAUAUUUACUAUUAGAUAUUUUAAACUUUUGUGUCAUAUUUGCCAUUUUUAAACAUUUUGUAAACCAUUAUUCUUAUAACUCUCAAUUAUGUCUGCUACCUGUUUUCUGAUUCUUUGCAAUGGCACCAUUAAACUGUUGGAUAUUAUAAUCAUAUUCUACUAUAUGCACUUGAAGUAUAAAGUAUAUGAUUAUCCUAACUGAGUUUUAAUUAAUAAGGUAG
rnacentral:lncRNA from 1 species